AGUGAACGCUGGCGGUAGGCCUAACACAUGCAAGUCGAACGGCAGCACAGUAAGAGCUUGCUCUUACGGGUGGCGAGUGGCGGACGGGUGAGGAAUACAUCGGAAUCUACUUUUUCGUGGGGGAUAACGUAGGGAAACUUACGCUAAUACCGCAUACGACCUACGGGUGAAAGCAGGGGAUCUUCGGACCUUGCGCGAUUGAAUGAGCCGAUGUCGGAUUAGCUAGUUGGCGGGGUAAAGGCCCACCAAGGCGACGAUCCGUAGCUGGUCUGAGAGGAUGAUCAGCCUCACUGGAACUGAGACACGGUCCAGACUCCUACGGGAGGCAGCAGUGGGGAAUAUUGGACAAUGGGCGCAAGCCUGAUCCAGCCACACCGCGUGGGUGAAGAAGGCCUUCGGGUUGUAAAGCCCUUUUGUUGGGAAAGAAAAGCAGCAGGUUAAUACCCCGCUGUUCUGACGGUACCCAAAGAAUAAGCACCGGCUAACUUCGUG
rnacentral:rRNA from 1 species